UCUUAACAUGCAAGCUAUCCACAUCAGCAGUCCACUCACAUCAGCGCUCCGUUACCGAAUUACAAAAGGGACCCACCACAGGUUGACAUGGAUUCUCUGCCUCCACGUCACCUCAACUUCUUCUACCAAGUUGUGUCACACACACGUCACCUCAACUUCUUCUACCACAUUGUGUCUCACACACAUGCUGUGCGUUAUCACGUUGUGCGGCACGCAGCAAAUGUAGGUGGCAUACGAAACGAGGGCCUGCCCAUAUUCCUUUCAUCCACUAUCUCGCCACUGAUCAUUAAUAGGCCCGUUUACUAGGAUAAAGCCAGUUCGUCUCACACAAAUCAUGAACGAAUCAUUGCGCCUUCCAACUGGGUGCUACUGCGACGGGGCGGCGGCGGACAUGUAGCAGAGCACCGGUAUCCAUUAACUAGAGGAAUAGGUGUCAGGCAGGCAGCGGUGAGGACGUAGCAGCAGCCAGCAGGCGAGGCGCCACACACCGACGACAACGAUCGUAGACUGAACGCUCCAGCUAGGGCUGAGCCGCCACUGGGUACUACUGCAAGGGUCGAACAAGCAGAACGAGAGUGCCAGAUCGAUAGAGAAGAACACCGCUACAUGACCAGAAACUGGAGCCCUAUGUUGCCAUCAUGGACAUGGAUCGGAAGGCUCUGAAUUACGCCAGAUGCAUUCAUCCCCUACAAACUAUAAUAUUUCGGGGCAACCUUUUAAUCAUAAUUUAAUUUUAUUAAUAUCUGUGUAAAUGCAGAUAACUCAUCAUGCUUAUUUCUAGGAGUGGAACUAAGCUUCAUCAAAUUCAAAAGCAUGUAUAAUGCUGCGCACUACACAAAACAAACAAAAAGAAUGAGAACAACCUGAGUAUACUGUCAUGAAUGGUAGCAGUAUGUUGCACAAGGUUGAUCCGGUGAGAAGCAUGAUUUACUCAAUAGUGUACCUCGUGAUUUAUUAGUGAUAUCUUUUAACAGAAAAUUAGAUUAUUAGUGAACUCACAUUUUUUCUUCUGAGCAAGCUAUGUUUUUAUGGAAUGGAUAGUUAAUAGUUGUCAUCGUUGUUUCAGGUUUUUUCCAAGGGCUGAGAUGUCUCUACUUAAAGGUGUUUUUUUUUUUUGCAUCAGCUUGGUUUUUUUUUGCGGGUGAUGUAUCACCUUGGUGAUAUACUUUUUUUGCGGGGAACCUUCGUGAUAUACUAUUAAGGUAAUAAAGGAGAAGAAGUUUAUCAAAGCAGGUAAUAAUUAGUAAAAAAAUCACGUGCACACAAUUUAAGCUUUUCAACACUUUUAUCUUAUUCUAAACAAUAUUUUUUUCCAAGAAUGUUAUUUAAAAAAACACAUUUAUCAUAUUCUAAACAAUAUUUUUUCCAAAGAAUAUUCUUUAUCAUCGCACAUACUAAAAUUCAUGUGCACACAAUUUUAGCUUUUCAACACUAUUCUCUCUUAUUCUAAACAAUAUUUUUUUCCAAGAAUAUUAUUUAUCAUCGGCACAUACUAUCUCAUGUUUCUAAACAUCAAAUUAUUUG